UACAGAGGGUGCGAGCGUUGUCCGGAAUCACUGGGCGUAAAGGGCGCGUAGGCGGCUUGAUAAGCGUGCGGUGAAAGUCCAGGGCUCAACCCUGGAAUGCCGGUGGAAACUGUCGGGCUGGAGUCCGGAAGAGGCGAGUGGAAUUCCUGGUGUAGCGGUGAAAUGCGCAGAUAUCAGGAAGAACACCCGUGGCGAAGGCGGCUCUCUGGGACGGUACUGACGCUGAGGCACGAAAGCGUGGGGAGCAAACAGG
rnacentral:rRNA from 1 species